GGCAUAUAGCUCAGUUGGUUAGAGCGCACGCCUGAUAAGCGUGAGGUCGGAAGUUCAAAUCU
rnacentral:tRNA from 1 species